CCCUUAGAUGUCCUGGGCCGCACGCGCGUUACACUGAUGCAUUCAACGAGCUUAUAACCUUGGCCGAGAGGCCUGGGCAAUCUUGUUAACGUGCAUCGUGAUAGGGAUAGAUUAUUGAAAUUAUUAAUCUUGAACGAGGAAUUCCUAGUAAACGCAGAUCAUCAAUCUGCAUUGAUUACGUCCCUGCCCUUUGUACACACCGCCCGUCGCACCUACCGAUUGGAUGGUCCGGUGAAGCCUCGGGAUUGAGGUUCUUGCCGCUUUAUUGUGGCGUGACCGCGAGAACUUGUCUAAACCUUAUCAUCUAGAGGAAGGUGAAGUCGUAACA
rnacentral:rRNA from 1 species